CCUACGGGUGGCUGCAGUGGGGAAUAUUGGACAAUGGGGGGAACCCUGAUCCAGCGACGCCGCGUGAGUGAAGAAGUAUUUCGGUAUGUAAAGCUCUAUCAGCAGGGAAGAAAGAAAUGACGGUACCUGACUAAGAAGCCGCGGCUAACUACGUGCCAGCAGCCGCGGUAAUACGUAGGGGGCACGCGUUAUCCGGAUUUAAUGGGUGUAAAGGGAUCGUAGACGGUUACGCAAGUCUGGAGUGAAAGGCGGGGGCCCAACCCCCGGACUGCUGUGGAAACUGUAUAACUGGAGUGGAGGAGAGGUAAGUGGAAUGCCUAGUGUAGCGGUGAAAUGCGUAGAUAUGAGGAGGAACACCAGUGGCGAAGGCGGCUUACUGGACUGUAACUGACGUUGAGGCUCGAAAGCGUGGGGAGCAAACAGGAUUAGAUACCCUUGUAGUC
rnacentral:rRNA from 1 species